AAGUCGUAACAAGGUUUCCGUAGGUGAACCUGCGGAAGGAUCAUUACCGAGUGAGGGCCCUCUGGGUCCAACCUCCCACCCAUGUUUAUUGUACCUUGUUGCUUCGGCGGGCCCGCCUCACGGCCGCCGGGGGGCUUCUGCCCUCUGGCCCGCGCCCGCCGAAGACACCAUUGAACACUGUCUGAAGAUUGCAGUCUGAGCAAUUAGCUAAAUAAGUUAAAACUUUCAACAACGGAUCUCUUGGUUCCG
rnacentral:misc_RNA from 1 species